rnacentral:tRNA from 1 species
UGGGUCGUUAGCUCAGUUGGUAGAGCAGUUGGCUUUUAACUAAAAGGUCGUAGGUUCGAACCCUACACGACCCAU